CAUCAGCUGCAUACUGUGGGAAUACUGUGUUGCAUUACGUUGAUGAAAUUAAGUAAGGAAGACUUUUUUCUUUCAUUUGAACACUUUAAACUCACCUGCUGCUUAACAUUGCACUUAGAUUUAUACAAGCCAGCAUAAGGAUUCAAAGCCAUGAAUAUUAUCAAACAUUUUACGUGUAAAUGGUGUUUUCUGCUACCUUUGAAACAUUUGCAGAAUUGUUAUUUGCAAGUUUACUUCUUUCCAAGCAGCCUGAGGUGCACAUACAGUCAGAUUUGUAAGUAUUUAGACGGAUGAUACAAUUGUCAUAAUGUCUCUGUACAGCACUACAAUGGAUUUACAACUAAACAAGAUGUGAUGAAAGUGUAGACUUUCAUCUUUAAGUCAAAGAGUUUAACAAAAAUGGUUGCAUAACAAUUUAGCAAUUACAGCCUUUUUAAAAUUUAUUUCACAUAGUCCCCACCUAUUUUUGUCAGCUUAAAAGUAACUGGACAAUUGACUGAUAAGCAGCUUCAUGGCUAGAUGUCAUCUGUUUCCUUGUAGGUUUAUGGCAAAUUAAGGAUAAAAAGUUUUGAAAUUGAUUCCAAGUGGUUGUUUGAUAGCUGUUCAAGAAUUUACAAAUAAAAAUACAUGGUUAUGCAUUAAGCAGUGCAUAACCAUGGGGGAAAAAUGUGAAAUAGGGUUAAAAAUAGACCACUUAUGAACACUUCAACCCAAACAGGAAAAAACUGUGUUCUUGAAAAGAAGUCCAGGUCAUAAACAUAUACAUACGUUUAAGCAGAGUUUACAAAAGUUUUAUGCUAGUGCUGCUGGAGAUACCUAGAGUUUGUCAGUAUUCAGUACAGCAUUUACAUACCCCAGUGAUAUUCAAACUAAGCAAACAAAUCUACAAUUCAACAGGAGGAGCAAGCAAAUAAACUGAACAUAUUGUCUAUUUAUUGUUAUAAUUGUAAUUCAUUCCUCAUAGGGCACAGAAACUCCUGAUUCUGAUAUGCCUUACGCUACCAUUGUUCAUAACCAGCAUGCAGGAGCCAAGACAAAGGUGAACACUCUAUAUAAGGAAAACUGUGCCGAAAAAGAUAUUUCCCCAUAGAUUAUUUUUUCAUAUUCACCAUAUCUCGUCCAGCAGGACUGCAGUCUUGCGGAGAGUGUGACAUACAGCACCAUUGUCCUGAAGGAUAACAUGCAACAAAUGGCUGAACCAGCUGAUAGAAGUGUGAUCUACAGCACCAUAAAACAUAACGAGCUCUAAUGAGCAAAACGGGAUGAGAGGACAUCAACCCAGAAAGUUUACAACACUGAUGAAGUCAUUUUAAUGGUGUGUGAGGGUUUCCAUUUGCUGUGAAGAGAAACAGGACAUUUUUAAUGUAAAUGUUUGUAUUAUAAUUUCAACACUCAUGUAACAGUGGUAUUUCUAAAGUUUCAGUAACUUACUGUGAAAAAAAACCCACAAGCACAUUGUAGUUCCUCAAGAACUCAGAGCGAGGAGAAAGAGAGAAUUUACGAGCUACGACUUUUUGAAUAUUUACAAAAUGUAGUAGUGCUGCUAAUGCAUUGGGCCUUGUGUGAUGUUUUGUUCUGUUUUAUAGAAUCUGGAGGCCCUUUGUGAAACCAUCAAUUAGCAUAGCAGUAUUUAUGCUAUUCUAAACAAUAAAUAUAAUAAUCUUCAAUAUGCAGGUCAGGUUAGUGUGUGUCAUUGUAUAUGUUUUUUUUAUGUUGUUUUGUUGUUUUUUGCAGGAAAUAACUUCACUACAGUGAUUAAGAUGCAUCUCUAUGCAAACAUUACCCACAAUACAGAGAUCAUGUGACAUACUUAUAUAUAGGAUAUUGUUUGACCUUUUGUACACAUGAAGUUAAAACAAACCAUGUACCUGUCACUAAAAAUAAUCUGGCAGAUAAAGACACUGAUUAUUACUGGUGUGUAUUACUGGAUUCUUUUUACAUUUAAUUUGCCAGAGGUAAUAACAUCACGAAAUGUAUUUCAAGUCUUUCAAAUCUUCCAUCACUGACAUCAUGAAUGUGGGAGUUGCGGUUUACUGUAAUGUUUAUUGGGCCUAAAGUUCAUAUUUGUAAGUUAAUAAUAUGUGUAUCAUAUGCAAAUAUGCACAUACUAACAUGAAUAACUGCAUUUAUCAAAACAUCUGUUUU
ensembl:lncRNA